AGGUGUGAUCAUGGAAGAUGCCACCAUUGAGUUGGGUUCCCUGGUUUUAGUGGAGAUGAUGAGGCCAAGUGGCAGCACUUAAUUGUUAAAGCAACACUGAGCAGUGCUGGUUUGAAGGUCUGCUUCCUCAGGGUGGGAAUGCUUACACAAGGACUAUGUGUGGAACCAAAAGGAUUUUCUCAGGUGCCUCUUGGUAGUUUGUGUCCAGUAAAAAAAAAAAAAUAAAGAAAACUACAAAAGCAGCAACAACAAAACAACAGAAUGAUGAAUAACUUGGAUUAAGAAUGAAGAUUUGUGUUGUACCAUCAGGUAAAGAAAUCAGUGAACUGAGGUUCUGGCUAAGGGCAAGGGAAAUAUGGACGAAGCCACCUGUGAUGUUAUAACCAAUAACAGAAACAAAGACUGUAUGAGCUUUGUAUGUUUUCUCUUUGCUAGUUAUAUGUAUGUGUUUUGUACAUGAAAA
rnacentral:antisense_RNA from 1 species